GAUGAUAAGGUCCCACGAGGUGCACGCAAGGAUGUAAGAUGAUAAGGUCCCACGAGGUGCACGCAAGGUUUUCGAAUUUGCUAUAAAAAGCAGUGGAAAACGUUCUCUAGAACCCUGCAAUUGAGAAGAGCUAACAGGAUAGUCAAGAAGCAGCAUGAAGGUACUCAAAAUGUCACUCAUCAUGGUUGUGAUCGCAUGUGCAUUGAUACAAGCCAAUGCGAGCCAACUAAACUUGUACAAGGGAGAGUGGUGUACAGGAUCUUUUACUGUUGUAUGGGAUCGCCAAUGCGGUGAGGUGCCUGAAGAUGCUGUUUCGUACAGGUUUUACUAUAAUCCGGAAUGGAAGGCCACACUUUUCUCAGAUGACGGUUGUGGAGGCGAAAGUAAAGAGGUUCUUGCCUCAAGCAAAAUAUGUGUUCAGGGUCUCGAAGGCAUUCGCAGCGUCUUGAUAUCGGAUGAGUCAUCCGAGAUAUCAAGACGCUGAAAAUGAGCUCUUGCCAGUUUCACUGACUCCUGGCAUAAAUAUAUAGCUUGCAAUGUCAUGAAUAAUAUCAUUUGGUGAUGAGUAGUGACAGCAAGGAUAAGGAUAAGAUGAUUUUGCCUCUGUUGCCGAGGAAUUCCAUAAUGCGUCUUCAUCAUCAGGAAUCUGCUCAAUGAGACAAGUGCUUAGUAAGUUUCAGUUACAAAGAAGCACGCACCUGUGAGAAAUCUACAGCGGGAAAGUUUCGUUUGCAUUUUGUGAUGGAGCGAGCUCCUUUUGUCACAACGAUAGUUCGUCUAUAGGACAACAGAAUACUCUUGAAAAGUUCGACAAACUCAUGCUAUAGUCUAAUUCUGGCAUCUGCAUUUCAAUCAAUGGAAAAAGUGGAGCUGAGCCAGGAACUUAGACGACUAUGUAAAUAAGAUGAAUGAAUGUGUACAUGUAAAGGUACCUUAGAACCAAAAAAUAUGACUUAUUAACGUAUUGUGCGUAACAGCGGCCCCUUUGGAGGGACGAGCUUCCACUUCCCAGACCAAGAAGCGAGCCAAAAACAAGCUCCCAAAACGAGAAAUGUUCGCGUCAAAAACGCCCUGUAAGAAACAAGACCGGCGGUCAGCAUCUGGAGAUGGAGAAACGGCAGACGUACCACAAACGCUUGAAUGGAACAGGGUCGAGCGCAGUUUGCCGAGCGUACGGAUUUCCGUCAAAGCAGAAUAUUAUAAUCCGUACAGAAUAUUCUUUUAUAAAGAGAAUAUUCUGGUGUGUCCAGUUUCACAUAUCAACAGUCCAUUUGUUUUUCUUUAUGUUUUUUUUUAAUAAACUCUUAAUUUAAAAUGGUUUGAGAUAUAUCCACUUGCUUUUCAAAAUCAACAGCCUGGAUGUAUCCACUUGUUUUUCAUAAAACAAGGACAGAAGAUUCACUUAUUUUUUCACAAAUCAAGAGGCUAAGAUCUAUUCACUUUAUUUUUCAAAAAUGAACGGCUUGGAUAUAUAUUCAAUUGUUUUUUCACAAAUCAACGGCUUAAAUAUAUCCACUUAUUUUUCCCAACUCAACUGUCGGGAUGUAUCCACUUGUUUUUUUAAAAUAAACCAUGUAACAUCUAUGCACUUGUUUGUUUUCAUAUGAAGAGCCUAGAUGUAAUUUUUUUUCCACAAAUCAAUAGCGUAAAAGUUAUCCACUUAGUUUUUGCAAAUCAACAGUCUAAGAUCACUGAAUUUAUAAUGGUUUGAGUUGUAUUAAUUUUGCCAAUUAACGAGCUGUAUGUAUCUUUUUGUUUUUUCAGAAAUUAAAGGUUUAAGAUCUAUCCACUUAUUUUUUCCCAAACUCAAUGGUUUGCACGUAUCUACUUGCUUUUUGCAAAUAAACACAAUUUUUGUGAUUAAACUAAAUAACUAGAAAUUAAUUACACAACAAAUUUAGGAAAUUAAUAAAUACUUUCACCUUAACUGACAGUUAGAAAGAUAGUCCUUUAAAACUAUAAUUAUUCACUAGGGUCUAAACUUUUGAUUAACAGUGACUGCUUUUAUGCCUCGUUUCCUCUCCCAAUAUUUGGGUAUAUGAACCAUAAGCCUAAGGGAAACAUUCAAGGAGCCAAUGUCAUCACCAAAGAUGAAGGUAAAUAAUGUUUUUAGUGGUAAUGUUUCGGCACUUCCGUGCCAAAACAACUUUCUUCGUUUUCUGCUUUUUACAUGACCAUUGCAAGAUUUUAAGGUUUUGAUUUAUUUCCAGUCAAUCUCUUUUGAAGGAUGUAACAAAAACGUAUUGUGAUUUUGUAGAUGAGACUCGUAGGCUUAUUGAAAGCAUGCUUAGUUUGCUGAAAGUGUGCAAAACAGAACAAACAAUGGAAGCACUAAGAAACCUGCUAGAAUUCUCAACCAUUCUCGAUCUUCGCUUUUAGUUCUCAACUAGGGUUUAGGGUUUUCUUUUUGUCAUGACAAGCCUCAUUUUGUCACAACAAGAGGCUUUCACAGAAAUUGCACUCCUCGGCACGGCUGCACCAUGGAGAGUAGAUUUCCCUCUGCAGCAUGCUUUUUCAGUGGUAUUUGCAGCAUCCCCAAUUGCUGCAGCAUUUUCCUGAACCAUCAUGACCUCCCUUGUUCUUACAACAACACUUCUUCCCCCAAUCCUUUCAGCAUUUAUAGUAGCCUUUGUGAUAUUUUCCACCACCACUAUCCUUAUAAUCAGCAACUUUAGAAGUUGCAGCUGAAGUCUCAGGCAUAGCUUCAAAACACGAACAUGAACAUGAACAUGGCAUUCAAUUUUUUGAACACGAACACGGAACACGGAAAUGAACACGGAUAAACAUGGGUGAAAACACAAAUAUUCUCUAGAAUAUUCUACUUAUCACUCCAUCUCAUCUAGAAGCUCCUUAUUAGCAGGACCAUCAUCUUCGUCUUCAUCCUCUUCUUCCCUAGCUUCAAUAUCAGCAUCAGUAAUUUGAGGAAUACUUCCUGUCUGGCUCAAUCCCACAAACUUGUCAUAGGAAGUGUGGCUCCCUAUCAACUUGGUAUUACUGGCCACAAAUACCAAGUCUGCAAUCCGGCUCACUGCUAAGCAAUUCCUCUUCUUUGAAGUGAUGUGCCCAAAAAUACUGAACAAUCGCUCCACAGAUGAGGAAAAACUUGCCUGACUAAGCACUCGAAUUGCCAACCUCUGCAAAUCUGGACCUGAGUAGCCAUUGUCCUCCCACCACUGCACAGAACCCUUUGUUGUAUGAUCCAUCUGAGAGUCCCUGGUGCCAAAACUACCCUCCAAGUUCCUGUAUUGGCAAAGCUGAUUUUUUAUAGUUGACCUUUGCUGAUAGUCAGGGAACUAGAUCUCCAAGUACAUGUUCCAAUCUUUGGAAACUUCCCUGGAUUUUUCUUGUCCUCGCCCCUGAAACUCUGGAUCAAGCAUGUAUGCCACGGAGUGAAAGGUGCUAUGAUAAGCCCACCACCUGUUUGAAAUCAGUUGGUUUAGCUCCUCAUACCUAAGAUUGUUCUCCUCUUGUUGACAGAUGUUCUCACUCAUCUAAUCCAUCCCCUCGUAGACCUUCCCAAUCACAGGCACGUCUCCGUCAACCAUCCGUAAAUACGUGGCUGAGCGCCAUUCCUCCCACUCCAGCGCUAGAAUCCUAGAGAGGGCAUUCCCAGCCCAAAAAAAUUGCCAUAGAUUGCUGGAAAAACCUUUUGAUUGAUCGCAGGAAUUUUUGAUUGAUCGCAAGACAAGAAAACAUCAAAGCGCAAAACACUCACGUGAACCACGUGAGCUAUUGUUUUAGAACACGGCGUGGUCACACGGUAUUUGACUGUGUUUCAACCGUGUUUGGAGCCGUGUUUUGGAGCAUUGACUGAGUCAAUGAACACGGCCCGUGUUAACAUGGCUGGGGGCCGUGUUUGUGUCACCACGCCAACACACCGUGGUGCACAGCGUGUUUUGAAGCAUUGGUCUCAGGAGCAAAGAACAGAAAUGAACACAGGAAGAACAAACCAUUUGAAGAAAUGGUGCUGUGAAACCAUAUGAAAUGGAAGGUUUUUAUAGUCAAAUGACUUAAGAAUUCAUGUGACUCUUGUAAAAUAUGUAAACCAUUCCCAAAUGGAAACAAUUGACUAUGAGAAAUGUUUUUAUAAACAUCUUCUUGUUUCAACUAUCAGCAACGAAUUUCCUCCACAAGUCUUUGGGAUUUUUUUUUCCAAACCACAUGUUUUGUUAUUCCUUUGUUUCUGUUUUCUUCGUUGUUGUUCUUCUGCUGUUGAUCUGCAGCCAUUUGCUUCAUCUGCCACCUUUGAAGCUGAUCACAAGGACGGGGGUGGGAAAUGUUACAGAUGCUGCAAGGAUUGGGGAAUGAAGUGUUGUUAUAAGAACAAAGGAGGUGGUCAUGAUAGUUCAGGAAAAUGCUGCUGCAAUUGGGGAUGCUGCAAAUACCACUAGUGAGCAGUUAAAACAAACAAUAAUAAUAAUAAAACUGUAGAUUAAUAGGAAGGUUAAGAACCUUGGUUAAUCUCAGUGGAUAGUUUUGGCUUUUCCAUUCAAAAAUAUUUAGGAUGUUUAGAGGAUGUGAAGCAACUUCUCCUCAGGCAGCGUUCAUCAUAAAUAUACAAGGAUAUAUAAUUUCAGCCUCCUUGCAAAAGACUCUCCAUUGGCAAUAUCUUACUCUCUUAGCUUGUUAGACGGAACAGGGAGAUUCCAGAUAUUAGCUCCACGAUUCAUCUGCUCUUCAUGUUGCCGUGCUUAGAUCCUCAUCCAGAACCUACAGAUCUAUGGAACAAAAAUUUAGAUUCAGACUCAGAAGAUCAAUCGAUCAAUAUAAAGGAUCAAGCAUACAUCAAUUAGUUCAUAUCAUUAUGAAGAAGUUACAUUACUUUCCUUGCCAGAUGCAUCCACGUGUCUCUUGAUGUUGGUUUGUUCUUCCAGGGAUUUGAAGGGGCAUUUGAGAUGAUAUCAGUUCCAACUUAAUUGAGUCUCAGCGAAGAGCUUAAUUUGGUUGGAAAUGGCAGGAAUCAGAGUUUCAUUAUUGUUUUUUUUUUCUUACAAAGGCUGCUGGAUCAAUCUCGGCUAGCAAAUGCAAAAGGAGGCUUGUGAUUUACUGACUUGCUGCUGGAGGAGCUUUAAUCUUCAACAAAGAAACUAGUAUGAUAUUUUUUUGUUCGCUUGUGUUCAAAGUUUGAAGAGCUUGAUGCUACAGGGAGGCAAACAACAUUUAUGGUGACUGCAAGGGAGUUCUGUAUCAAUCUUAUACUGUUUGUUUUAUUUGUUUAUACAGAAACAAGCACAAGAACUAAAGCUUUUUAGUGGUAUUUGCAGCAUCCCCAAUUGCAACAGCAUUUUCUUGAACUAUCAUGAUCACCACCCUUGUUCUUGUAACAACUCUUCUUCCCCCAAUCCUUGCAACACUUGUAGUAGCCUUUAUGACAUUUCCCACCCCCACCACCACCGUUCUUGUGAUCAGCAACUUUAAAAGUUCUAGUUGCAGCUAAAGUCGAGUGGAUGCCCAAGAAAAGAUAUGAACACAAGAGAGACAUAGGAAGAAUGAGCCAUUGGAAGAAAUGGUGCUGUGAAACAAUUUGAAACAGGAGGUUUUUAUAGUCAGACUAGCCAUUGCCUAGCUAUGCUGCCAAGUUAGCAAACACUAUUUUGUUUUUAUUACAUUAAAAAUUAAAUUAAAAUAGUAUUAAAACAACAUAUAUUAUAUUCCACUUUAAAAGAAGAAUUGCUAUACACAUAUAUUUUUUCAUAGAAAAUUAUCAAAUUCCUUAAAGGGAAUCAUAAGAUCUAAAUAACACAAUAAAUUGAGACACAAAUCCCUAAGCCCCAAAGUGGAGCCAAAAGGGUGCUAUAUAGUAGUGGUUAAAAUGGAAGUUUAACAAGCAUAAUAUGUUUGGACCAAAAGCUCCAACUUGGAAAGUUGAGAGCACCCCAAACAAAGUGCUCAAGGAAUGAGUACAAAAUAAUUGUGAAUGAAUCUCUAAAUAGGGAUACAAGAAGGAUUGACACGUAGUAAGUGUCAUGAUAUAUAGAAGUGUCAAGCAUGAGUUCAAAGAGGAGUUUAAGAAAGAGUCCAAGAUGGAGUCCGAGAAGGAGCCCGAGAUGGAGUCCGAGAAGGAGCCCAAAAUGCUGAGAUGGAGUCCAAUACAAACCCAAGAUGGACCUGAGAUGGAGUUUGAGAUGAAGUUUGAGGUGGACCUAAAAUGAACCUAAGAUGGAGCCUGAGAUGGUGUCACGAAUGUGACUUCGGGUAUUGAAAGUUAUCUGUCGGCUAGUCCUUACGGACACUCUUUCCUUAUUGCCAUGAUGGCAGGAGGUCGGUAUUGAUGAACCCUUUAUCAAUCCUUCUUGUGCUAGUGGAGUUAACUGGGCAUUUCAAGUGUAUUUAGACCGAACGAGUAUAAGAAUGGAAUUCUUAUGUGUUAUUAACUAAGCAUACUUAGCUCGGUAAGGAGUUCCUGUCUCAUUAUGUCUUGCACUAGCUAGUGACAAAAAC
rnacentral:lncRNA from 1 species